rnacentral:rRNA from 1 species
UACGAGAGGCCCAAACGUUAUUCGGAUUUACUGGGCUUAAAGAGUUCGUAGGCGGUUCGACAAGUGAGGUGUGAAAUCCCUCGGCUUAACCGAGGAAUUGCGCUUCAAACUGUCGGGCUCGAGGGAGAUAGGGGUGAGCGGAACUGAUGGUGGAGCGGUGAAAUGCGUUGAUAUCAUCAGGAACACCAGAGGCGAAGGCGGCUCACUGGGUCUCUUCUGACGCUGAGGAACGAAAGCUAGGGUAGCGAACGGG